AACUUCUUCUGCAUCCUGGAUUUUGGUAUCGGACUCUGAAUUCUGGAGAAAGAGCUCAUGUUCAGAGAAGAGCGGUAUUCGCCGGUUGAGAGUAAACAGCAGAGUCUCUCUGUUCCCAGCAUGCCUGCUUCCUUAGGUUUCUCUGUGUGAGGACAGAGAGAAACCAACAAAGAAGAGGGUGACAAGGAAGGAGAGAAAAUGAGAAACACCUGCCACACUGCUCCACCGCUCAUGAAGCUUCUCCUCUUCAGUUCAGGGUCCUCUGCUGGCCACAGUCUGUCCCACCAGCUCAACCCACACCGUCAGGAUGCAUCACAGAGGCACCCACACUCACGUUGCAGGGGACAAGGGAGGCACGCCACUGGGCCUCACAGGCACUUCUCUGGAAUGUGGGAGGAAACAGGUGUCAACAGUUGAAACCAAAGCAAACAUGGAGAGAACUUACAACCUCUCCCUUUAGCCAAGAAUACCCAGGACUAGAAGUCUUUUAUUUUAGGUCUCAAUUUAUAUAUAAUAAAACAGCAUUAUUAAGGAGCGAUGUGCCUGCUGAACCCUUGGUAUUAUGUAGUACCUUGAAACGAGUGAGUUAUUACUGAGAUUUGGAAGCAGGA